UCAGUAGUUAAGGAUUUUGGUUUGGUUCAGCUUAGGGGCUUUGUGGUCCUUCUCAGGUUUUCAAAAAAUCACUGCCCUCCCCCCAACAUAAAUCCAAAUGUUUUCGAAGUUUUAAUUGAGUUGUGUUCAACCCUUCCCCUGCGCGGCGCCCCCGCCUCGGCCUCGGAGCCCAGCCGAGCGCGAGUUCGCUGCAAGCGGGAUCCGUACCGCUUCCCGCCGGCCCGAAGCCUCCGAGGUAUCCCGGGCGCCGGCGCCUCCGGAGGCUCCUGGGCAGCUCCCGCAGGACAGGAGUACCCUGUUGCCCUCCAGGAGGGAGGCCCGAUGUGGCAACUGAUUGUCGAGCGGGAGAGUCGGAGGCAAGAGAGAAAGCCCCACUUGCCCCAUACCAAUUCUAUCGCUUUUCCCGAGGGGAAAGAGAAAACUAUGCGAGUCCGGUGUCCUCCACUGCCUCCGCCUGCGGUCGAGAAAGCAGGCGUCGGCUCGGGAUUGAGAGGAGGUGCACGUGCAUGUUUGGGAACUGAAGGAGUGAGGAGAUUAGUGCAAUGCUUUGUGCUAGGAGCGAGAGUGAGUCUGGGUAAGGUCUGGGAGGGGCAGUGAGUGUAGCUGUGUUGGUGUCCAGUGGAUGGGUGUGAGCGAGGUUGUAGGGUGGAAAUCCCACCCAGGAAUGUCCAGGGUCACUGUACCUGGCCUCUGUACAGUCACUUGACUCUGUGUCUCCAUCCCCCAGAGCCCCAGCUCAAUCCCCCAAAUGAAAUGAGGCCACCGUGAGAAACCGGGUCCGGCUUUGCAUCUCAUUUACAUAAAUAUUUAUUAAUCGUCAUUAAACUGAACAGAAACACGCAAUGCACUUCGGGUGUCCGACGGGAGUUUCAUCUUCGCUACAAGAGGAAGGUAAAAUUGCGUGUGAGUGUGCGGGUAAGUGUGUGGGUGUGUCGCCUGUGGGUUUGCAUUUUUGCAUCGUGUGUUUGGAUGCCUGAUCUCCUGCCUCCGGUGGCGAGAGGUUCUCCUUUUGCCCCUUUCUCUGGGAAACUUCCAGAAGGAGCCCUCAGCCCUUUCCCUGCCCACCUGCUAACCAGAGCCAAGAGGACGCCUCAGACAAAAAAAACCUCUCCAGCCACAGAAAAACGCCGGGCGCCUGGCGCCCACCGAGGCACAUUCGGGCAGGGGCGGGGCUGGCCCUAGGUCUUGGUCUCCACCCUCAACCCGGGAUGAGGAUUGCCUGCGGGGAGCGAGGGUUCGGCGAGCUCUCCUCCCUCUGUCCCCGGACGCCCGCGCCGGGCCUGCGUGCGCGUGCGGUG
rnacentral:lncRNA from 1 species